rnacentral:rRNA from 1 species
AGCGAACGCUGGCGGCAGGCUUAACACAUGCAAGUCGAACGGUCCUUCGGGAUAGUGGCGGACGGGUGAGUAACACGUGGGAACGUACCCUUAGGUUCGGAACAACACAGGGAAACUUGUGCUAAUACCGGAUAAGCCCUUCGGGGGAAAGAUUUAUCGCCUUUGGAGCGGCCCGCGUCUGAUUAGCUUGUCGGUGAGGUAAUGGCUCACCAAGGCUACGAUCAGUAGCUGGUCUGAGAGGAUGGCCAGCCACACUGGGACUGAGACACGGCCCAGACUCCUACGGGAGGCAGCAGUGGGGAAUCUUGCGCAAUGGGCGAAAGCCUGACGCAGCCAUGCCGUGUGGAUGAUGAAGGUCUUAGGAUUGUAAAAUCCUUUCACCGGGGACGAUAAUGACGGUACCCGGAGAAGAAGCCCCGGCUAACUUCGUGCCAGCCGCCGCAGUAA